UGUGAGCUCGCGCCGUUGUCGCGCAGGUGAGUCUUCGCAGCGCUGCGCCACAACGUGACCGCGCGGCGGAGUGACAACAAUCAGCCGCUCCAAAAUGACAAUGAAAUCGUGGUGGCAUUGUAUUGUUGUGAUUUUGUGAUGUGCCAAAAAUGAAGUGUGUAAGUGGCGAAGCCGAAGAACGGCUGUGCGGAAGCGCGCUAUAUCGGCAUAUGUUUGUAUGUAUGUCAAAAUAUAUACAUAUAUGUGUGUGUAUACAAAAGCAAAGUAAUUGCCCUAAAGCUCAAAGCAAAACCACAGUUGUCAGCAGAUAAUAGCAUUUGUUGAAUAUUCAUGAAUAUAAAAGAAGGAAAAAGUUGAAAUCGGUUGCAGCGAAACUGUAAUACCCUUCACAGGUGUAGUAUAUAUAACUAUAAGUAUAAAUAAUUCUGAAUGUUUUGAUAUAAACAACCAUCAAGUGGAAUUACGGAUAUUUAGUUGGGAAAAAACGUUUAUCCUGAUUUUGAUCGGUCAGUUUGAAUGGCAUCUGCAAUGGUUUAAACUGAACAAUUAGUUCAGAUUAUAACGUUGUCUUGUCUAAGCGAAAUUUCUUGAAGCCAUCGAGACAAAUAAAAGGUUUUCCAUGCAAGAGCUUGAUUUUAAGCAUUUCUAGUGUGGCCGGACAGACGGAAGGAUUAACAGUGAGAGAGUUGCAGCGAAAGUCUGGUUUACAUUAGCGGAACCGGAUUGCUGUAGGGGCAAGGAUAGUCAAAACGGCAGCAUUCUUCCAAAUUGCUUCAGAAAUGUUUUCUGUCGCCACAACAACAACAGAGAGAGAGAUAGUGCGCUUGAAUAUAUGCAAUAUCUUUUUACUACAAAGAAAAUUUAUUGCCUACAUUUAGGAGUGUUUGCAUAAAACGGUAUUAAGAAAACUUCGACUGUUUCAUACUACACUGGAAAUUGGAAGGGAUCUUGGUAGAAGAAAAAAUUCAUAACUUCUUAAUAAGUAAAGAAAGCUCUGAACGGAUUCGGUGCCAAUUUUAGCAUAUUAAAAUUUUUUCUGGAAAAUUUCAACCGAAGUAGCCUGCAGUGAUUUAAAUACUCGGAAAAGGCUGUUGACUUUUGUGUUGUAUUUAAGGAACGUAAAAAAUAAUUCGAGAAGACGAGGUGGCCAGAUUUCUUUGAAAUCAAUUAAAGUUAAUAUUAAAUGAGUUGGUUGAAAAUUCAUUUACCCUAAGUAAGCUCAUUUAAGCUAUAAAAAGAACUAUUAGCUUCACUCUCUCUAAUAUUGCUGUAGUCUCUAUUAAUAACCUACAAGUUUUUACUAUUAUAUUAUAUAAGUAUUUCACGUAUCUAUAUACAUAUGUAUAUAUUUUGUGAAAGUAGGCAUAUUUGUGCUAUUUUCGUUAAAGGUUGAAAAAACAAUACUAAUUUGUUUGGAAUCCAGUGGCGAGCAAUUUUUUAUUAUUUUUACUCACACUGCGGUGAAUGUGUAUGAGUGAUUAUGCAAUGGGCCUUUUAAUUAUUUUUAAUUUAGCACAAAAAUGUAUAUAAGUAUGUAUGUAUGUACCUUGAGUGAAACGUGAAUGCAUUAUUGCAAUUGUAAAUUGAGCAGAAAAUUAGUUUUUAACUUUCCUUUCAACAAUAUUUUAUUAUUAUUAGGGUGGUUUUUAUAUUUAACUGUAUUACGGCGCUAUUGUGAGACUAGCUGUAAGCUCUAAUGCUAAUGAGUGCUUAUCACAAGAAAAAUUCUGCUAAAAGAGGUAAUAAUAGGACAACCCGCUGCAAAUGAUAAAAUACGAAGAUACUUUUUCGACUACCCAAUAUUUGACAGUUGAGGUUUACCCAGUCUAGUUAAAUAAUUUUAGAUUUUAUAGGAGUUGAGUGUUCUUUUGCAACUCGCUUACGAAAAAGCAGCAAACGGUAAAGUUCAUUAAAAAUUUCAUGUUCCUUUACAGUAAAAAGUAAGGGAGAUCGCAUGCUUGUAUGCUGAAAUCCCAAAGUCUACAACUUCACGUACGUAUAACUGUUUACAUGUGCAAUAUUUGCGUUUAAUGGUCAAUAAUGAACUUCACACAGCACUACAUAUAGGCUUGAGGGCAUUCGCUACAUUAAAGCCAUAUGGCACACAUACAUACAAUCACACAUGUGCAUAUAUUUAUGUGGAAAACAUAAAAAAUAAAGUAGCUUCCCUAUAUUUUUGCUAUAUUUUUAAUAUUUGUAUAUGUAUAUGUACAUAAAUGUAUGUAUGUAUGUAUGCAGCUAUAAGCUGGAGAGUACAGAUAAGUAAUUGUUAUCUAAAAGCCACAACAAUAUGUACAUAAUUUAAGCGUCUAAUUGAUGGAAAACAGAUGCAACGGCAAAGUCAAUGUAUCUGCAUAAUUAUAUAUACAAUUUCGAGCCCUGUAGGAAAGUUUAC